rnacentral:rRNA from 1 species
UACGGAGGGUGCAAGCGUUAUCCGGAUUCACUGGGUUUAAAGGGUGCGUAGGCGGGUUGGUAAGUCCGUGGUGAAAUCUCCCAAGCUUAACUUGGAAACUGCCGUGGAUACUAUCAAUCUUGAAUAUAGUGGAGGUGAGCGGGAAUAUGUCAUGUAGCGGUGAAAUGCUUAGAUAUGAACAUAGAACACCCCAUUGCGAAGGCAGCUC